rnacentral:lncRNA from 1 species
CGCCAAGAACCCCAACUGCCAUACAGCUACGGAGGCAAGUAACGAGCAGGCCGAUCAGCUUCUAAAGGAUUUUGAGCAGAAAGUAGAGAAGGCUUUUGCCGAGGACUUUGAACCCAGACCCAAUGUCUCGGCUUACCAUGAUGACAGUAAAGUUGGAGAAGAAAAAUCAUUUGUUAAGGACUUUGAGCCCGGGCCUAACCUCUCAGUAUACCAUGACGAUGAAGUUGCUUCAAAGGGAGACAAGUCAUUUGUUAAUGACUUUGAACCAAGGCCAAAUCUCUCUGUUUAUAACCACUAAGGGAAAGCCAUGUAUAAUUGAAGCAGGUACAAGUGGUCUAUGUAUGCCUUUCACAUAAGUUGAUCAGCACUGAAGCUAGCCACAUGUAAGAACUAAGAAGUAAGAUCGAUGUUUCAGGUUUGUAUGAGUAAUGGUGUGAAGUAGUAUUGAAGUGUGGAGUGUGAAUUGUAUUAUGAUGAUUUAAUAAAAGCUUGUACCGGCCAGGUUUUGCUUUUGAAUCGACUCAAUGACGCUUAUUACUUAAUGACUUAAGUUGAUUUUAAGUUAAAUUAUUCUUAAGUUAUUAAUUUAAAACUUAUUACUUAUUUUUUAUUUUAAGUGUUAAAAUUUUUUUUAUAAAAUUUAUUUUAAAUUAUCAAAUUAACAUAUUUAUCUUCAUCGAUUGUAAUUAAUAUUUAUCAUUAUUAUUUUAAUUAAUAUAUAUUUUGAUUAAUUUUAAGCAAUUAAUUUGUUUAUUAGACAUUCAUACUUAAAGUAUUAUAAAUAUAUAAGAUAACUUUAAAAUAUUCAGUAUAAAAAUGAGUCAUAAAUAUGAGGUCAUGGUUGUUAAAUAUAUGUCUCAUUAAAUAUGAGUAAAUAAGAGCUUUUUCGGAACAAAGUUAAUAGCUUUUUUUUGUUAAUGGGCUUUCAUUAGAAACACAUUCAAGGAAAAUCAUUGUAUUUGGAUAUAUAAAAAAUAAAUAAAUUAUGAAGGAUCACUUGUCUUACACUCAAUUUUGAUGUACACAACAAUGAGUCAAUCACACACCUAAUGGGUCAUAGCAGUUGAAUUUUUUGGUAAAGAACAUGAUAUAUGUUGUGAGCUCAAAUCUUUUAAGUUUAAACUUUUAGAAAAAUUUAUAAUUUAAUAUGCUAUUAGAACUUUGUUUAGUAGAAGGUUAUAUUUUCGAAUCGUAACUUUAUAAUUUACAUAUUUUCUUUUUAGGAAAAUUGAUUGGUGAACACUUUCCUAACAAAUCAAGGUCACUUAGAACAUUCGCUUUCACCAAGCCUAUCCCAUGAAUAUAAUAGCAGACCCUUAUGCAUGAAAAGGACUAUGGGCCUAUGGCAUGGCAUAUGAAUAUGAAAAUGGCGUAACUAACAAGGAAGUCGUAUGGAGUAGGACAUAUUAUGUCAAAAAAAUGGAGUAGGACAUAUAUAGUGCGACCAUUUAUCUUCAACUAUUGUGAGAGUGUUUGAUAAAUCAACUUAAUAACUUAAUUUGAUUUAAUAACUUAAUUUAAGUUGUUAAGUAGAUUAAAUAAGUUUGAUAAAAUAACUUAAUAUCAUAACUUGAAAUAAAAAAUAAUUUUAAAUUAUAAAUUAAAAUAGUUAAUUUAUUCUUAAUCUUAAAUUUUUUUUUGUCUCAUUUGUUGAUCCAUCCUAGUGAGAAUAUAGUUAGGAAUUAUGAUUCCACAUUCAUAAUUCGUUUUUUAUAAUAAAUAUUUUAUGAUUAUCUUGUAUAUCUAUAAUACUUUAAAUAUGAAUGUUUUACAAAUAAUUUAUUACUUAAAAUUAAUUAAUGUAAAUAAAUCACUUAAAAUCAAUGAAGAUAAUUAUUUAGCCAUAGAAGCAUGUUCUUCCUCAGUCAUUGUGAAGUAACAAUCAACCAGGAAAGAUGAAGAAGAAUCAAGAAAGAUCAAGGACAACAGAAAAUAUGAAGCUCUGAUACCAUGUGAAGAUAUGCAGAAUUGUAAGGAAAACAGAGGAGAAAAUAGAGGAGCACUCAAACCUGUAUUGAAACUGAAACUCUCCUUACAUUUAGAUGAGAUAAAAAUAUACAGGUGAGGUCUAUUUAUACACUUGAAAUGGAUCAAUAAAGCUGUUAAGUAUUGACAACUGACAUAACUAAUUUAACUGACAUUAGUUAGAUGAAUUCUGUUUGGCUAUUUGUGAUUUUAACUCUAAUUCAUCUAUCAGAUUUUGGAUAUUCCAACACCCCCCCUCAAGAUGAGAAUGAAUGUUUAUCAUUCCCAUCUUGCUGAUAAGAUGAUGAAAAUUGAGACAUCCGAGAGGUUUGGUCAAUAUAUCUGCCAGUUAAUGCUUGGAAGGAAUGUGGAUUAUUUUGAUCAAACCCUAUUGCAAUUUCUCUCUAACUAGAUGGCAAUCGAGUUGUAUAUGUUUUGUUCGUUCGUGGUGUACUGGGUUGGAAGCUAUUUCUGAAGCAGGUUUGCUGUCAGUAUAUAGCAGUGCUGGUUAAGGAUGCUUAACAUUCAAAUUAGCCAACAAAUAAACCAACCAUUGAAGCUCACAAGUUGUAGUGGCUAAAGCUCUGUAUUCAGCUUCUGUCGAGGACCUACUUACAGUAGGUUGCUUCUUUGAUUUCCAAGAUAUGAGAGAGUCUCCUAUGAAAACUGUGAAACCAGUAACACUUCGCUUAGUGUCAAUGCAGCCACCCCAAUCACUGUCAGAAUAUGCCUUUAAAUGUAGAUCAGAUGAAGCCUUGACCUGGUGUUGCCUUAAUGUAUCGAAGAACUCUUUCUACAGCUUGUAAAUGUGUUGAAUGAGGAUUAGACAUAAACUGGCUGAGAGCUUGUACUGCAUAUGCCAAGUCAGGUCUAGUGAUUGUUAAAUAAAGAAGUCUGCCAAUGAGUCUUCUAUAUGAUGCAGGAUCAGACAAUAAAGGACUUGAAUCAUUGGUAGUAAGUUUUAAACUUGAUUCCAUAGGAAAACCAACUGGUUUAGAGCCAGAGAAACCACUAUCUUUCAAUACAUCCAGAGCAUACUUUCGUUGAGACAACACAAUACCUUUUGCUGAUCUGGCUACUUCAAUGCCUAAAAAAUAUUUCAGUUCACCUAAAUCUUUUAUAGUAAAAGAUUCAUGGAGAAGCUUUUUCACAACAUCUAUUUCCUUGAGAUCAUUUGAAGCUAUUAUAACAUCAUCAACAUAGAUUAAUAGAGCAAUGAAACUAGUUGAUGUUUGUCUGAUAAAAAGGCUUGAAUCUGUCUUUGCUUGACUAAAACCAAACUUGAGUAAAGAUGAAGACAACUUUGAGUACCAUUGCCUUGAAGCUUGUCUCAAACCAUAUAAACUCUUUUUGAGUUUACAAACCCGAGGGUCAUUUGGUGUUGAAAAACCUGGUGGCAAUUGCAUGUAGACCUCCUCAUUUAAGUCUCCAUGUAAGAAGGCAUUAUUUACAUCAAGUUGAUGUAAAUACCAUUGUUUAGCUGCUGCAAUAGCAAGAAGCACUCUAACUGUUGUCAUCUUUGCAACAGGAGAGUAUGUGUCAAAAAAAUCAAGUCCCUCUUGUUGAGUGUAGCCCUUGGCUAUAAGCCUGACUUUGUACCUUUCUACACUUCCAUCCGCCUUAAAUUUCACUCGAUAUACCCACUUACAACCUAUAGCAGUUUUGUUUGGAGGUAAAAUUGCAAGAUCCCAAGUUUUAUUAUGCUCAAGAGCUUUUAUUUCAUCAGUCAUGGCAGUUUUCCAAUGAGGAAUUGAGACAGCCUGUUUGUAAGUUUUUGGUUCAAAAGUGGAUGAAAUAACAGAAAUGAAGGCUUUGUGUUUGGAGGAUAAUCUGGAAUCAGAUAAAAAGGAGAAUAUGCAGUAGGGCUUACCAGAUGAGGAGCAACUUGAAGGUGCUUGAGUUGCUGAAUCAAUCUUAGUCAUAUUACCACAAUAGUAAUUCUGCAAGUAUUUAGGUAAAUGCUUAGUUCUUUCAGACCUUCUAAGACUAUUAGCAUCAUUGUUUGCAUGAAUUGUAUUUUCAGGAAUUGAAGAUUCAAUAACAGAGGUUGGAUCAGUAGAAUUUGUAGAACCAGAAGUUAUAGAAACUGAGUUGUUUGGUUUGCACGAUUUGGAUUCAUAUAUUUGGGGAAAAUCUGGAAAAACAAAAGGUUUGUGAAUUGUGUCUGGAAUAGAGGGAAAUGUAGAUUCAUGAAAAAGUACAUUCCGAGAAACAAAAGUUUUGAGAGUUGUUAAGUCAAGAACUUUGUAUCCUUUAAUGUUUGGUGGAUAACCAAGAAAAAUACAUUUUGUUGCUCUUGGAUGGAAUUUGCCUCGAUUGUUUGUGAUUGUACUAGCAAAGCAUAAACAACCGAAGACUUUGAAGUAAUUGUAGUUAGGUGGCUUUUGAAACAAUAACCGAUAUGGUGUUUGAUUAUUUAGAAUGUAUGAUGGAGUACGAUUUAUCAGAUGUGUGGCUGUUAAUACACAAUUUGUCCAAUAGGAUAAGGGUAAUUUUGACUGAAACAUGAGAGAUCUAGCUACAUUCAAUAGGUGUUGAUGUUUUCUUUCAACCCUUCCAUUUUGUUCAGGUGUUUCAACACAUGAUAAUUGAUGAAUAAUGCCAUGUUCUUGAUAGAAAGUAGGCAUAUUAAAUUCUUGACCAUUAUCUGAUCUAAGAGUUUGAAUAUUAGUGUUGAAAUGAGUGUGAACAUAAGCUAGAAAGUUGGUAAGUAUAGCUCGAGUUUCUAUUUUGGUUUUCAUUAAGAAUAACCAAGUGAAUCUUGUGAAAUCAUCAACAAUAGUUAGAAAGAAUCUGUAACCAGAAUAUGAAGGAAUGGAAAAAGGCCCCCAAAUGUCAGUGUGAACCAAUUGAAAAGCUUUAUUUGAUUGACUAUUUGAUAUAGGAAAUGGUAGCUUUUUCUGUUUAGCUAAUGGAUAGAUCUCACAAACUUUGUUAUGAAUAGCCUUUACAGAAGAAUCAGAACUAUUUAUGAGUUGUAUUUUUGCAUUUGGAAUAUGGCCUAAACGAAAAUGCCAUAGAUCAGAAUUAACAGUACAAGACUCAACUAAAGAACUAGAAGGUAAACCAAUUGAACUAGAAAGCAUUUCUUUAUUUGUUUGAGCAAAUAAUUGUUGAAGAUGGUAUAAACCAGAUUGAACUUCAGCAAGCCCAAUCAUCCUCCAUUUGCUGAGGUCCUGCAAGAUACAUUUGGAUUGAAGAAAAAAUAAUCCAAUUGAAUUAUCUUUAGUUAAUCUUGAUGCAGAAACAAGAUUGAUAUUGAAAAAUGGAACAUAAAGAGCAUUGUGUAAAGUAAUAUCAGGUGAGAAUUUUACAGAUCCAGUGAAGAUAAUUGGAACUGUUUGUCCAUUUGGUAAAUGAACUUUGGAAGAUGUUUUAGGUAAAACAAGCGAGUCAAAUAGAAGGGGAGAACAUAUCAUAUGAUCUAUUUCUCCUGUAUCAAGAAUCCAAGUGAACUGGUUCUUUGAUGAAGAAACUGUAUUGCAGAAAAAAGAAGUACCUGAGGUGGAUGCAACAUUGGCAGUUGCAUUAGAAUUUGUGUUUGAGCUGGAAAGGUUGUUGGCUAGGGUAAGCAGAUUUUGGAUUUGUUCUUGAGAAAAAAUCAUGUUGGAAUUACUUGAAUUUUGCUCCAAAACAUUAGUAUUAUUUGCAGUGGGCAAUCUUUGAAAAUUUUUUGCUGCAGUUGGUGUAGAGUUAAAUCUUUUUCCUCUUGGUCCUUUCCAUCCAGGAGGAUAUCCAAUUAGCUGAAAACAUUUAUCAACUAAGUGACCCGAAUAACCACAAUGAGAGCAGAUUGCAUCAGACUUUCCUUUCUGCUUUGUGAAUUGAGUAUUACUUGUUGAAACGAUUCUUGAUGAUUGUUCAACAACCAUUGCUUGUGAAUCAAUGGAAAUGCCAACUGCAUUAGUUAAUGAUCUUUGACUUUCUUCUUGUAAAAGUAGGGAGAAAACUCUGCUCAUAGAUGGUAAAGGAGAUUGCAGUAGCAAUUGACUUCUAAUUGCUGAAUAAGAAUCGUGAAGCCCCACAAGAAAUUUCAUUACUUAGUUUGAUUGCUGUCUAUCAGUCAAGUCCUUCAAAAUAUUACAAGAACAACGAUUAAGGUUCCCACAUCUGCAACUGGGAAUAGGACGAUAGCUAAUGUAUUCAUCCCAUAAAGCCUUGAAUUCACUAAAAUAUUCAGUGAUAGAUUUCGAAUUUUGAGAAAUGGAACUUAAGGAUUUUUCCAGGGAGAAAACCCUUGGUCCAUCACUUUUGAGAUAUUUGAUUUUCAGCUCCUCCCAGAUAUCAAAAGCAUUUGUGAAAUAGAGAAGACUACCACGGAUUUCUUUGGCAAUUGAAUUCAUUAGCCAAGACAGGACAAGAUUAUUGGCUCUUAGCCAAGCAACACGAAGAUGAGGAUCAUUAGUGAUCGGUUGAACCAGAGAACCAUCAACAAAUGCAAUUUUAUUUUUCACUGUUAGAGCAAUUGACAUAGAUCGACUCCAUGCAAUAUAAUUCUCACCAGUGAAUAUCUCGGAAACCAGAAGUGCACCAGGAUUAUUAGAUGGAUGUAAGUAAUAGGAGUUGGAUGAAUCAUCUGAAAGAUUCUGUACAGGUCCAUUUGAUGAAUGAGAGUUAGCCAUAGAAGCAUGUUCUUCCUCAGUCAUUGUGAAGUAACAAUCAACCAGGAAAGAUGAAGAAGAAUCAAGAAAGAUCAAGAAAGAUCAAGAACAACGGAAAAUAUGAAGCUCUGAUACCAUGUGAAGAUAUGCAGAAUUGUAAGGAAAACAGAGAAGAAAACAGAGGAGCACUCAAACCUGUAUUGAAACUGAAAUUCUCCUUACAUUCAGAUGAGAUAAAAAUGUACAGGUGAGGUCUAUUUAUACACUUGAAAUGGAUCAAUAAAGCUGUUAAGUAUUGACAACUGGCAUAACUAAUUUAACUGACAUUAGUUAGAUGAAUUCUGUUUGGCUAUUUGUGAUUUUAACUCUAAUUCAUCUAUCAGAUUUUGGAUAUUCCAACAUCCAUUAUGAUGAAAUUUAGAACUACUUAUAUUUCCAUUCAAAUGGAAAAUGAUAUUACCAGCUAAAAUCUUUGUACUUUACCAUGAACAUCAAAAUUUCCAGCUUCCACAGAUUAUGUCAAUCAAAUAAUAACAAUUAUACCAGUAUUUAAUCAUCAUCAUCGUCUUGAACUGCAGGGGCAUAGAAGUUCCAAGAGACUGCAAAGAUGUAUGCAUGAUGUAUGAAUAAAUUGAAGAGUGGAGAGGUUACCAUCACAGCCAGAAAGUGAAGGAAGAUGCUCCAAAAGGAAAAUCUCAGGUUCAUUUUUCUUCUUUUCUGGGAAAUCCUUUCUUCUUCAUCUUCUCCUUCUGGUAAGACAACAAAGAGACCAACAGAACUAGUUAGCAAACAAAGGAGCAUUCAAUCGAAUACCACAAGGGCAAAUUCAUAUUACAUCUGAGAGUAGUAAGGAGUUGAAGCCAGACGGCUUCCUCAAAGAAAUGAUGCCUUUGAUCACCUAGGCCAAAGCCAAUUAGGCAAAACUUAAACAAUCCAUAGAUUCUACAAUAUGAAAUUAAAUCCACGGAAGCUUUUGAUAAUUCAAGGAAACAGAAAGUGGGGUUUUGAAAUUACAAUUGAAUAGUUUUACUUGUGAAGAUUUUAUUUAGAUUUCCUCUGUGAGAAUACUUUUGACAGCAACGUUGUUUCUAUUAAAAGUGUUUUUAAUUAAAGUAUUUUAGGAAAAAUAGUUUAUCAAUUGUUUUCUCAUAAAAUAUCAUAAAUAAUUUUUUUAACUAUUUAAAAAUGUUUUUUAAAUUUUAUAAAAUGUUCGAAUUUUCUUCAAAAGUGCUUUAUAUAUUAGAAGGGUUUUUCUAAAAAUAUAGUCAAACAAAUUUUAAAAGUUUUUCUUAAUAUACAUACUUUUAAAAAUCCCAAGAAUCACUUUUAAAAAUCACAUUUUUAAAAUCACUUUCAAAAAAUGAUACAAAUAAAAACCCUUUUAGCAAAAUUACUCUGAAAUAAACUUUUGUUUUAAUUAAAUAUACAUUGAUAUUCCACUCCAACAUGGUGUUCUGCUGCUUAGCAAAUAUAUUGACAAAACCAUAUGAGAAAGAUGAGAUUGGUAAGCGUCAAAUUUCAAAUGUAAGCAUGACUUUGAGAGAAUUGAUAAAAAAAUAACCUUUGAAGAUGUUAAUCCCAUCAACUAUGAACUUCAAGGAUGAGUAUAUAUAUCCCGUCAAUUAUGCAAAAUUUAAGGAAUUUAAAUGUGAAACCUAUAAAUUUUAGACCAUAUUCGAUAAUUAUUAUUGAAAAUAGUUAUGAACAACAGUUUUGAAAACCAUAUUCUUAUGUUUUGUAGAAUAAAUGUCUAUUUGAGAAUAUGAAAUAUUUUAAUUUUUUUUUUUAUAUUUUAAAAUAAUUUUUAUAUAUGUACUUUACUUUUAAUUAUUAUUUAUAUUUGUAUAAUUAUUUUUUUAAAAUAGCUCUUCAAAAGUAAGUGAAAUAACUAAAACAUGUUCUCUAAAAACCUUUUUAUUUAUUGAUUUUUAGUUGUUAAAUGUGUUUUAUUAUUUUUUUUGUUCUGAAAAAAAAUAUAUUUAAAAAAUGGUUCUAAAAAAUAAUUUUUGAGAACAAUUUUAAAAAAUUAAAAGGUGUAUUUGAGAACUUAAAAACGUUUUUAACUUGUUUUUUAACUUUUAUAUGUAGAAUUUUGUUUUUAAUCAUUUUUCAUAUUUGUAUAAUAAUUUUUUAAAAUGAUUUUUAUAAAAUAAAUGAAAAUAAUUAAAAAAUAUCUUCUUUUUUUUCCUUUUUAAAAUGAAAAAACCGUUUUUUAAAAUAGUUAUCAAACAAUCCGUUGCUUCUGAACUCUAAACAAGCUGAACAGUGAAGCACCAAUCCGAGGCCAAACCAACCCAUCUCUACUGCUAGCUGGGUGGGGCACAGAAGCAAUUUUUUAGGAUUAGAUGGGCUAGGCAUGGCUCUUUGAUAAUUUCUCUAGCAAUUCAGGUUCAGUUAAAGCAUGGUCUACAAGCAGACCAUCCCUCGAUAAUUUCUAACAAUUAUGAAAGACAUGGGUAUUUGCUUCUGAUUCUCUCUGGAUUCGGGCCUGCUGCCACCCAUCCGAAAGAGAGAGGAUUAAAAAAAAUGCAAAGGAGAUAUGAAUUGCUAGAAAACAAAAACAAUAAUGGAACACUAAUAUUUUUUUUUAAGUAAAAGGGCAUCCAAUAAUAGGAACAUGAUGUGGGGUGGACAGACCCAACCUAUUGAUUAAUUUGGAGGAAUGAUUUCAGAUCGAGGGAGGGAUAAUUAUUUUAUUCAAAGUUUGUUACUUCAUUCAAUGAAUUCUUGAAUCAUUAUUUGAUUGAGAUUCAAGACUCCAUCGAUCGGCCGACACCCUUUUUGUUAAAUAUUGAAAAGACAUUUUAUAUUCUCAAUAACAUGAUGCCACAUUCGAGUAAUACACCAAUUUUAUUUGUUUAUAUCUUUAUAUCUUAAUCUUAUUUAUCUGCAUCAUCAUCCAAUUAUUAACUAUUCAAAUUUAGACUUUUAUAAGUACCAUUGUACAAUUCUUUAGCAUUUUCUUGAAAUUCAAUUGAUAUUACAAACUAUAAAAUCAUUAUUUUCUCUCAUGGAAAUAAAAAAAAAUUAUAACUUCACAUCAUUUUCCUCAAUUGCAAGGGUAUAAGGAUGAACUAGUAAGUAUGAAGUGAAAUUGAAGGAGAUUAUUCAUAGUCUAAGAAAAUUGCAAGGGAAGUUUUUUAAUAAUAAAUUAGUGGUGCCAAAGAUUUUACCCUUUCUAUACUUCAAAUCCAAACAAAUUUUUUAAUCAUAAAUAUGAAUAAAGAUUUUGCUUUAAAUUUCCACGAGAUCUUGAAUCCCAUCCGCUAUAUUUUUAAUUAGGCAUAUGUUGAUGUGUGACUCAAACAUUUUGCCUACAAACGCUUGGAAAAAACAAGGGCAUAAAACAUGGUUGGUAAGUUGUCAAAUCUUCAAAAAUAUAUCCAGGGUCUUUGUUGUAUAUUUAUUUUAAUUUUUUUAGUAAAAAGGAUUGGAUUUAUAAAAGUAAUCAUUCAUGUGAGACAUGGAACGUGGUUGUCAUGGUUUUACUAUUAUAUAUAUAUAUAUAUAUAUAUAUAAAUUAUUUGACGUGCUUCUUUUGAUUUAUUUAUUUCCCUUUCUAGCAAAGAAUUUUAAAACUUAUAAGGUUUUUUACUAACCUUUAUCAUAUUUGAUUUUUCUUUAUAUUUUUAAUAACAUUGAGAUUUUGAUUUGCUUCCCACUUUUCUCUAUUCCAUAUUAUUUGUCACAAUUCUAAUGGAAUCAAGAAGUAAUUGUUUUUGUGAAAAUUGUUUUUUGAAAUAUUAAUCAUAGAGACAUAUACAAAGUCUAAUUCAAUCGAUUAUUAAGUAGGAUGUUUUAAUUAUUAAAUGAAUUAAAUGAGUUAUAUGAUGUGUUACAUGUCUAGUAAUUAGGUAGUAUAUGAGUUUAUAUUAUUAACACUAUUAUUAUUGUGUCGGGUUUGGGUUAAAAUAUCAAGACUUUGACAUGACGGGAAAAUUGUAACCCAUAAGUUAGCCGCACAUUACCUAUUUUCUGAAGUUAAAAACAAAAACACUUUCUAACCUCAAUUCUUCUACUAGUAUUUAGUUGAAAAAUUCAUACGAGAAUGUUUUAACAUUACUUGGUCUUGUCAUGGCUCUUACACUUAAUCUUCACAUCAUUUGCCCACCACCAGUGUUGAUAUCUUCAAUGCAUUAUUGAAGGCCGGCCAACAAGAAUUGCACAUCAUGAUAUGAUCAAUAUGCAUUAUUGAAGGCCAACUUGAACCUUAAGGUUAAUCCUUAUUAGCUAUAUGUGUGGUUUUCUUGUACUGCUUAUCUAUCUAUCUAUAUAAAUAGUAAGUGGAGUCUCAAUUCAAAUAACAGAAACAAAGUUAGUGUUUUCAGAUUGAGGAUAUGGCUUCUUCCUUGGCUUUCUUCACUAUUUUCUCACUUCUCUUGGUGAGCAUUUCUAAGAGGCAAAACUGAAACCAAUUGAUUAUGAACUCAGGAAGAUUUUGAAUAUGAAUUUGUAUGGUUUAAUAAUUCUUACAAGUUCUAACAUAUUUUUCUCUUAUUUUGUGAGCAGGUGGGCAAUGCAAUAGGUGGAAGAAAAGAGCCUGGGGUAUACUGGAGGGAUGUUAUGAAGGAUGAGCCCAUGCCAAAAGCAAUCCAAGGCCUUCUCCCUGAAGAUCAAUCAUCUUCUCUCUUAAGCAAGAAACCCAACUGUCAGACAAUUCCAGGGGCAAGAAAUGGGGGUGAUAUUGUCAAGGGUUUUGAGCCUAAAAAAGAGAAGGUUUUCUGGGUUUAUGAUGAUGAGGAUGCUAAACUCACAGAAGAGAAAUCAUUUGUUAAGGACCUUGAGCCCAGGACUAAUGUCUCAGCCUAGCAUGAUAAAGGUGCUACUAAAGAAGAGAAGGAGAAGCCAUUUGUGGGUGACUUUGAACCUAGGCCUAAUGUUUCUGCUUAUAAUGAAUAAGUGGAACAGAAACCAUGAAUAUUAUUCAUUAGGUAAGAAAUAGAGUGCCAUUGGUAGUGAUUAUAAAAAAUAUUUCUAGCAUUUCAAACACUUGAAUGAUAAAAAAAUUUAAAUAUUAAAAAUGUUGGAAACACUUUCUAAAAUUAUUAUCAAAUGAGCUUAUAAUUAGAAGCCCCUAGUGUUUAAUGUUUGUAUUGGAAUUGAUGUGAAGUGUGUGAAAUGAUUUAAUAAGAGUUGUACCACUUGGUUUGACUUAUUACAAGUUGGUAUUAUAUACCUAGAAAUGAUUAUGACUUUAAGAGAUCUUGAAGAUUAUUCAAGAUUUGGGUUUUUUCAUUUUUCUUUAAUUAGAUUUCAUAAAUGAUUUUUUAACUAUUUAAAAAUGUUUUUAAAAUUUUAUAAUUAGAAGUGUUUUUCUAAAAAUAUUGCAAACAAACUCUAAAGGUUUUUCUUAAUAUAUACUUUUAAAAAUCUAAAGAAUCACUUUUAGAAAUCACAUUUUUAAAAUCACUUUCAAAAAAUGAUACAAAUAAAAACCCUUUUACCAAAAUUACUCUAAAACAAACUUUUGUUUUAAUUAAGUAUAUAUUGAUAUUCCAUUCCGUGUUCUGUUGCUUAACAAACAUAUUGAUAAAACCAAGCUAGAAAGAUGAGGUUGGUAAGCAUCAAAUCUCAAAUGUAACCAUGACUUUUGAGAGGAUUGAUAAAAAAGCGCCUUUGAAGAUGGUAAUCCCAUCAACUAUAAACUUCGAGGAUGAAUAUAUAUCCCAUCAACUAUUCAAAAUUUAAGGAAUUUAAAUGUGAAACCUAGGUGAAAAUUUUAGACCAUUUUCGGUAAUUAUUGUCAAAAAUAGUUUUAAACAACAAUUUUAAAAACCAUAUUCUUAUGUUUUGUAAAAUAAAUGUUUAUUUGAGAAUAUGAAAUAUUUUAAACUUAUUUUCUAUAUUUUAAAAUAAUUUUUUAAAAUAUAUCUAUAUGCUUUAUUUUUAAUUAUUUUUCAUAUUUGUAUAAUUAUUUUUUUAAAUAACCCUAAAAAAUUAAGUGAAAAUAACUAAAACAUGUUAUCUAAAAACGCUUUUAUUUGUUGUUUUCGGGUUGUCAAAUAUGUUUUUUUUAUCUAAAAAAAGAAAAGUGUUUUGAAAAUGGUUAUGAAAUUUUCGAUAAUAGUUUUUAAAACUCAUUCUUUAAUAUUUUAUAGAAUAAAUGACUAAAUAUUUGUCUGAGAAGUUAAAAUGUUUUUUACUUAUUUUUUAUAUUUUAAAAAUAACUUUUAUAUGUAGAAUUUUAUUUAUAAUCAUGUAGACAUGAAAAAAAUUAGUGGAUUAAAUUACCACUAAUGUCUUCAAAAUGAAUAAAUUUAAAAUAUAUAUAUAUAUAUAUAUAUAUAUAUAUAUAUAUCCUCGAUAAGUUUUCCUAAUAUCCAACUAUAAAACAGAUAAUAAUAAUAAUAAUAAGAAAAUCUUCUUCUCCGAAAAGUUUUACCAACACGAUAAUAAUAAUAAUAAUAAUUUUCUUCUUAUUAUUAUUAUCCUUUUUAUAAUUGAAGAUUAAGAAAACUUAUCUAUAAGAGGAUAUAUUUAUUUAUAUAUAUAUAUAUAUAUAUAUAUAUAUAUAUAUAUAUAUAUAUAUAUAUUAAAUUUAUUCAUUUUGAAAGACCAAAUUAUUAGUAAUUUAAUCCAUUAAUUUUUUUAUAUCUAUAAAUCGUUUUUCAUAUUUGUAUGAUAAAUUUUUAAAAUGAUAUUUAAAAAAUAAGUAAAAAUAACUGAAAAAUUGUUAUUAAAAAAUAUUUUAUUUUAGUACUUAAUCUUUCUCCUUUUGAACUCCAAACAAGCUGAACAGUGAAGCACCAAUCCGAGGCCAAACCAACCCAUCUCUACUGCUAGCUGGGUGGGCACAGAAGCAAUUUUUUAGGAUUAGAUGGGCUAGGCAUGGCUCUUCGAUAAUUUUUCUAGAAAUUCAGGUUCAGUUAAAGCAUGGUCUACAAGCAGACCAUCCCUUGAUAAUUUCCAACAAUUAUGAAAGACAUGGGCUUUUGCUUCUGAUUCUCUCUGGAUUCGGACCUGCUGCCACCCAUCUGAAAGAGAGAGGAUUAAAAAAAUGUAAAGGAGAUAUGAGUUGCUAGAAAACAAGGACGUCCCAGCUUUAUAAGCCAGAAAACAAAAACAAUAAUGGAACACUAAUAUUUUUUUAAGUAAAAGGGCGCGCAUCCAAUAAUAGGAACAUGACGUGGGUUGGGCAGACUCAACCUAUUGAUUAAUUUGGAGGAAUGAUUUCAGAUCGAGGGAGGGAUCAUUAUUUUAUCCAAAAAUUUGUUACUUCAUUCAAUGAACUCUUGAAUCAUUAUUUCAUCGAGAUUCAAAACUCCAACAAUCAUAUCGACCGACACCCUUUUUGUUAAAUAUAAAAAAGACGUUGUCAAUGAUAUAAUAAUCAUCAUAACCUUACAAUUAUUUAUCAUCACACACACAGAUAGAUAUAUAUGUCAGAAUAAUUAGCAAAACCUGAUCCCUCCACUACCAUUAUAAACCCUAAAAAAAUCUCAUAAUUAUAGUUUUAGCAUAUAUGUUGCACUGCAAACUUUUCGAAAAAGAUAAAAUAAAAUUCAGGUCACCAAACUUUAACAAAAAUUCAUAGCUUCUCAUCAUCGUCCUCAACUACAAGGAUAUAAGGAUGAAACUGAUAGGUAUAAAGUGAACUCCAAGAAGACCGUUCAUAGUUCAAGAAAAUUGAAAGGGAAGUUUUCUAAUCAUAAAUUAGUGGUGCCAAAGAUUUUACCUUUGCUUUCCAUGAUACUUCAAAUCCUAACUAUUUUUUUAAUAAAAAAUAUGAAUAAAGACUUGGCCUUAGAUUUCCACAAGAUCUGGUAUAUUUUUAAUUAGGCAUAUCUUGAUACGUGACUCAAAACAUUUUGCCUGCAAAAGCUUGAAAAAAACGAAGGCACAAAAUAUAGUUGGUAAGCUGUCAAAUCUUCGAGCAUAUAUUCAGGCAUUGGGUCUCUGUUAUUUAUUUAUUUUAAUUUUUUUAGUGAAAACGAUUGGAUUUAUAAAAGUAAUCAUUCAUGUGGAGGCAUGGAACGUGUUUGUCAUGGUUUUACUAUUAUAUAUAUAUAUAAACAUAAUUAAAAUUAUCUAGAACCUUUUGUAUUUUAAAUUAUUUAAUUUUUAUAUCAAAUUUUAAAAUAAAUCUUAAUUAAUAUAUAUAUAUUUGUUAGAUCCUUAAGAUUUGAGAAAAAGAAAAGGAGAAAAUAUAAGGAAAAGAUUUAAUAAAUUAUUUGACGUGGUUCUUUUGAUAUAUUUCUGUCCCUUUUUUUAACAAAGAAUUUUCUUUGUAUUUUUAACAAUAUUGAGAUUUUGAUUUGUUUCCCACUUUUAAUUUCUCUAUUCCAUUUUACUUGUCAUAAUCCAAAUAAAACCAAGAAGUAAAUAUUUUUGUGAAAAUUGUUUUAAUUUUGAAACAUUAAUCAUAUAAACAUAUACAAAAUCUAAUUCAAUCCGAUUAUUAAGUAGAAGAAUUUAAUUAUUAAAUGAAUGAAAUGUGUUAUAUGCAUAUUACCUAUCUAGUAAUGAAGCAAUAUUUGAGUUUAUAUUUUUAACAAUAGUAUUAUUGUGUCGGGUUUGGGUUGAUAUAUGUCAUUGAAUAUCAAGACUUUGACAUGACAUGAAAAUUGUAACCCCUAUGUUAGCUUUCUCCUUAUGAAGUUCAAACAAGCUGAACAGUGAAGCACCAAUCCGAGGGCAAACCAACCCCAUUCUACUGCUAGCUUUGGUGGGCACAGAAGCAAUUUUUUAGGAUUAGAUGGGCUAGGCAUGGCUCUUCGAUAAUUUUUCUAGAAAUUCAGGCUCAGUUAAAGCGUGGUCUACAACAGACCAUCCCUUGAUAAUUUCCAACAAUUAUGAAAGACAUGGGCAUUUGCUUCUGAUUCUCUCUGGAUUCGGGCCUGCUGCCACCCAUCUGAAAGAGAGGAUUAAAAAAAUGCAUAGGAGAUAUGAGUUGCUAGAAAACAAGGACGUCCCAGCUUUAUAAGCUAGAAAACAAAAACAAUAAUGGAACACUAAAAUUUUUUUAAGUAAAAGGGCGCGCAUCCAAUAAUAGGAACAUGAUGUGGGGUGGGCAGACCCAACCUAUUGAUUAAUUUGGAGGAAUGAUUUCAGAUCGAGGGAGGGAUCAUUAUUUUAUCCAAAAAUUUGUUACUUCAUUCAAUGAAGUCUUGAAUCAUUAUUUCAUCGAGAUUCAAAACUCCAGCAAUCAUAUCGACCGACACCCUUUUUGUUAAAUAUAAAAAAGACGUUGUCAAUAUAAUGUCACAUAUAUAUAUAUUUUCAAGUUCAGUAAUAUACGACAUUUUUAUUAGUUUAUUUUCUUUCAUGGAAAUAAAAAAGUUGAUACUAGAUCACAAGAAUAAGUAAUAAAAAAAUACAAUAAAAACACACAAAUUUACGUAAAAAAAACCUUAGACAGGAAAAACUAUAGAUAAAAAUAUAGAAAAUCUAUAAUAUAAAAAAAUUGGUAUAAAAAAGGAGAGUUGUGAACGGUUAUAAUAAAAACAUAAUCAUCAUAACCCUACAACUAUAUAUCAUCACACACACACACACACAAUAUAUAUAUAUAUAUAUAUAUAAAUAAUUAGUAAACCCCGAUCCCUCCACUACCAUUAUAGACCAAAAAAAACAAAUCUCAUAAUUAUAGUUUUAUCAUAUAUGUUGCACUGCGAGCUUUUCGAGUCGAAUAAAAUAAAAUUCAAGUCACCAAAUUCUAACAAAAAUUUAUAGCUUCUCAUCAUCGUCCUCAACUACAAGGGUAUAAGGAUGAAACUAAUAGGUAUGAAGUGAACUCCAAGAAAAGUAUUCAUAGUUCAAGAAAAUUGCAAGGAAAAUUUUCUAAUCAUAAAUUAGUGGUGCCAAAGAUUUUACCUUUGCUUUCCAUGAUACGUCAAAUCCUAAUUAUUUUUUUAAUCAUAAAUAUGAAUAAAGACUUGGCCUUCGAUUUUCACAAGAUCUUGAAUCUCAUCCAGUAUAUUUUUAAUUAGGCAUAUGUUGAUACGUAACUCAAAACAUUUUGGUUGCAAAAGUUUGGAAAAAACGAAAGCACAAAACAUAGUUGGUAAGCCAUCAAAUCUAGGCAUCGGGUUUUUGUUAUUUAUUUAUUUUUAUUUUUUUAGUGAAAAUGAUUGAAUUUAUAAAAGUGAUAAUUCAUGUGGAGGCAUGGAACAUGUUUGUCACGGUUUCACUAUUAAAUAUAAUAUAUAUAUAUAUAUAUAUAAACAUAAUUAAAAUUAUCUAGAACCUUCUAUAUUUUAAAUUAUUUAAUUUUUAUAUCAAAUUUUAAAAUAAAUAAAAUAAAUUUUAAUAUAUAUAUAUAUAUAUAUAUUUUGUUAGAUCCUUAAGAUUUGAGAAAAAGAAAAGGAGAAAAUAUAAGGAAAAUAUUUAAUAAAUUAUUUGACGUGGUUAUUGCGAUGUAUUUAUGUCCCUUUUUUAGCAAAGAAUUUUCUUUGUAUUUUUAAUAAUAUUGAGAUUUUGAUUUGUUUCCCAUUUUUCUCUAUUUCAUAUUACUUGUCAUAAUCCAAAUAAAACUGAGAAGUAACUAUUUUUGUGAAAAUUAUUUUAAUUUUGAGACAUUAAUCAUAUAAACAUAUACAAAAUCUAAGUCAACCUGAUUAUUAAGUAGAAGAAUUUAAUUAUUAAAUGAAGGAAAUGAGUUAUAUGAUGUAUUACCUGUCUAGUAAUGGAAGAGUAUUUGAGUUUAUAUUUUUAACAUUAGUAUUGUUGUGUUGGGUUUGAGUUGAUAUAUGUCAUAGAAUAUCGAGACUUUGACACGACGUGAAAAUUGUAGCCCCUAAGUUUGUUGCACAUUACCUAUUUUCUGACGUUAGAAACAAGAACACUUUCUAACCUCAAUUCUUCUACUAAUAUUUAGUUGAAAAAUUCAUACGAGAAUGUUUUAACAUUACUUGGUCUUGUCAUGGCUCUUACACUUAAUCUUCACAUCAUUUGCCCAACACCACAUUGUUGACAUCUUCAAUGCAUUAUUGAAGGCCAACAAAAAUUGCACAUCAUGAUAUGAUCAAUAUACUUUAUCCAAGGCCAACUUGAACCUUAAGGUUAAUCCUUCUUAGCUAUAUGUUUGGUUUUCUUGUACUUCUUAUCUAUCUAUCUAUGUAAAUAGUAAGUGGAGCCUCGAUUCAAAUAACAGAAACAAAGUGUUUGCAGAUUGAGGAUAUGGCUUAUUCCUUGGCUUUCUUCACUAUUUUCUCGCUUCUCUUGGUGAGCAUUUCUAAGAGGCAAACUGAAACCAAUUGAUUAUGAACUCAGGAAAAUUUUGACUAUGAAUUUGUAUGGUUUCAUAAUUCUUACAAGUUCCUACAUAUUUUUCUCUUAAUUUGUGAGCAGGUGGGCAAUGCAAUAGGUGGAAGAAAAGAGCCUGGGGAAUAUUGGAGAGAUGUUAUGAAGGAUGAGCCCAUGCCAAAAGCAAUCCAAGGUCUUCUCCCUGAAGAUUAAUCAUCUUCUCUCUCAAGCAAGAAACCCAACUGUCAGACAACUAUAGAGGCAAGAAAUGGGGAUGAUGUUGUCAAGGGUUUUUGUUGAGGCCCCGCGUUCCUGGUGAUCCAUGUAGUUGCCAAAUGAAUGGGCGCACGAUCUCAACCACUAUAAGUUCCUGGUUCAAUCGUUCUUGCAAAAUACGUCUGAACAGGGUAUCCGGACGCACCCUUCGAUGGUUUUGUUAGCCAUGGUUCAGAGAGAUAAAUCAGUUGGCUUUUUAUUAGGUAUAACAAACUUACCUUCCUCUUUAUGUGAAGGUUCAUAUAUAUCGUCUCAGAAGCUCUGUCUCCCUCUUUAAUGAUAGGGAGAUAUUUUGGCUUGACAUGAUGCCUCUAAGUGGUGACAAAGCCAUCAUCACCCUACGGGCGGCUGCCAGAGAUCGUGGGGGGCGUCGCAGAUGUCAGAGAUUGUGGGAAGUGACUUGUUGUCAUUCCUGUCCUUUCACUCUACAGGUGGCGGAACGUGGGCCGUGACAGGCUGUCAGAAUGGCGUAGCAAGACUUGCUUACUUUAGUCAAUGAUCUGGACAAACAUAUUUGGAUAGGGUAUGUAGGUCUUCCGGAUGUAAUAUAACGAUCGUCCGGAUGUGAUGUUUGCGAGUGUCGUGUGCUUCUCUCUGAGGAAGUUCGGAUAGGAGAAGCGUGCCACGUGUCUCCUUUGGGGGAGAUCCGGAUGGAGCUAAUACGGAUGGAAAUGUGUGCCACGUGGCAUCAGGGAGAUCCGGAUGGAGCUAAUCCGGAUGAAAAUGUGUGCCACGUGGCAUCAGGGGGAGGGGUCCCUACAGUUUUGAGCCUAAAAAAGAGAAGGUUUUCUGGGUUUAUGAUGAUGAGGAUGCUAAACUCACAGAAGAGAAAUCAUUUGUUAAGAACCUUAAGCCCUGGACUAAUAUCUCAGCCUACCAUGAUAAAGGUGCUACCAAAGAAGAGAAGCCAUUUGUGGGUGACUAUGAACCUCGGCCUAAUAUUUCUGCUUACAAUGAGUAAGCGAAAAUGCUUGUAUUGGAAUUGAUGUGAAGUGUGUGAGAUGAUUUAAUAAAAGUUGUGCCUGGUUUCUGACUCAUUACAAGUUGGUAUUUUGCAUACUAUAUAUAUUAAUUAAAUACCUAGAAAUGAUUAUGACUUUCGGAGAUCUUGAUGAUUAUCCAGGAUGUGGGUUUUUGCUUUUUUCAUUUGUUGGAUGUGGCUUUUUUGGAUUAUCCAAGUUGAUCGAGAAAUUCCAUAGUACAGAACAACCAUUGAAUACUAUAAAUCUUCUCUCAGAGCACUUAACUAGCAUCUUCAUACUUCAGCUACACACCUUCUUUAAGUCAAUAACAUAUAUACUUAGAAUCAAUGCCAAGCAAGAUCUCAACCACUUCUUGAUGCCCAAUCAAGAAGAAAGCUGUGAGUUUUACCCCAAUCCAAAACGACAAUGAUGAUAAGGAUAGAAGAAAAAGAUGAAUCAAUUUCCCGAGAAAGGAACACUCAAAUUUUGGAAAAACAAUGAGGAGCACAAAGGGAAGGUAGAUGAUGACUAUUGUGUUUCCCUAACCCUUUGGAGAUUAAGAUAUAAACUAUUCACAGAAGCAACAGUUUGUCAUUAGCUCUUAGGUGCAACCUUGGUCUCCAUAUCAGUGAGUUAAUGUAACAUAAUUUGAUAAAUUUUCUAGCAAUUAAAGGUGGUGUUUGUUUUUUUACUUAAUUCUAAACAGAACCUUAAUACUUAAUAGUGUUAAAUAUUAGAUUGUUUAUUUUUGUAGUAUUUUAUUUUUAUUAAGUAUUAAAAAGUAAAAAAAAUCAAUAUGUUAUUUUUUCUAUUUAGAAAAAGUUACAUAUUUUGAUUUUUUUUUUAUUUAGUAAAAAGUUUAUAAUAAGUCAUAAAAAAGUAGAAAAACAAACAACAUAAAUUCUAAAAACAAAUUGCUUUCAGCAAAAAGAAAAAAAAAAACAAACACCACCAACCCUCUUUGGCAACAGUUUUUUAGAACAACAUUCCAUUUUGCAAAAAAAAAAUAAAAACAUAGGUUAGACCACCAAAAAAUUAUUUUUUGUUUUCUAUUCUUCAAAAUAGAAAAAUUAUUUUCAAAAAAUAUCUUUUAGUUGUUUUAAGUUGUUUUCAUUUGUUUUUUAAUAACUCUUUUUAAAAAAAUUAUAUAAAUAUGAAAAAUGAUUAAAGAUAAAACACUUGAUAUAAAAAUUAUAUUUAAAAAUUUUAAAAAUAAGUUAAAAACAUUUCAAGUUCUCAAAUAAAAUAUUUGUUCUACAAAAUAUUCGAGAAUGAUUCUCAAAAAUUAUUUUCAAAAAACAUCUUUUAGUUGUUUUAAGUUGUUUUUCAUUUAUUUUUUAAGAGUUAUUUUUAAAAAGAAUUAUAUAAAUAUAAAAAAUGAUUAAAAAUAAAAUACUUGUAUGAUAUAAAAAAUAUUUUUAAAAUAUAUCUAAAAAUAUUAAAAAUAAAUUAAAAACAAUUCAAAUUUUCAAACAAAAUAUUUGUUCUACAAAAUAUUAGAGAAUGAUGCUCAAAAAUUAUUUUCACCAAACAAGACAAAGUUCGGUUAGAACAUGGUCGACAACAAUCCCAUCCCGUGAUCAUUUUAAACAAUUAUGAAAAGCAUGAUUUAUUUUUCUUCUAAUUUUAUAUGGAUUCGGUUUGUUGCCACCCUCCAAAAGACAGAAGAUUAGAAAAAUACCAAGUGAAUAGCUAGAAAACAAGGACAUGCCAGCUUUAUAAGCUAGAAAAUAAAAAUAAUAAUGAAACACCUAUCUUUUUCAUCUAAUAAUAGGAGGAAGUGCGGUAGGUAGAUCCAAUCAAUUGAAUAAUUUGAGAUGAAUGUAGGGAUCAUUAUUUCAUUGAAAUUGAAAUGGAGCUAUAUAUAUAUAUAUAUGAAAAAGAUAAAAUAAAAAAAACGUGUUUCCACGAUUAAUAUAAUUUCUACAAUCACACAGUGUAUUAAUACUAAAAAAUUAAUAAAUUGAAAGAAACAAGAAGGGUCACAAUGGUAAAACUCUCAAAAAAGAUUUUUCAAUUAUGUCUGUAUUGUCUAAAAAAAUAAAACCUUAAAAUUUAAGAUGUUAAAUAUAUAAUAGGGGUAAAUUCACCAUUCAUUAUAUAGAAGAGUUACAUCGCUCUCCACAAGCUCAACGGGAAGCUCGACUCCUACCAUCUUGAGUGAAAUACAUAACAUAUAUAUGACAACAAAGAGACUACCUACAUAAUUUAAUUCAUAAGAGGGUCAAUCAAAGUAUUUAUCUAAUGUAAAAACCUUUAUUAGAAAUAAUACAAUUUCACCAAAACUAAGAAGAAGCAAACUUCAAAUAAUCUAUGAAUUCCAAUGUCAAUUUCAACGAGAGUAAAUGAUUAUUUAAGAAAAUUACAAUGAAAAUCUUUAAAUCAUAAACAAUUAUUUUUAAAAUUUUUAGUGAAGUGUUAUUUGGAUGUAUUUAUUGUUUUUUAUUUUUAAAAUAUUAUAUAAAACAACUCUUAUAUAAAAUACAAAAAUUCAUAAAAUCUUAUUUUGAUAGGAUAAUAUAAGAGUUUCUAUAUUGUUAUUUUAUACAGAAGUUUUUACUAUUUUUUUUUCUUUUUAAAAAGGAAAAAAACAUAAUCUGAUUCUGAUCCACUUGAUCCUAAAGUUGGCCUGGUGCCAAUAUUCUAUGUAGAAAAUUUGGUUUGAGAGCCCUUUUCCUACAGGUAAUACUUUAGCAUUACGUGGGGACCUUGGUUUGCAUGAAAGCAAAGGGUUGGUCACAUAUCUAGCAAAAGGUUGUUUUUUUCACUUAAAUCUAAAUAAAAUUUAAUUUAACUUAAUUUUAAAUACAACUUAAUACUAUUAAAUAUUUAGUUAUUCUUUUUAUUAUUUUAUUUAUAUUAAAUAUUUCGUAUUAAAAGGGUGAAGGAUGUGUUAAAAUUGUGUUUUGGUUGUUUCAAAAAGACAUUUUUACCAUUCAAUAAAAAGUUAAAUAUUUUGACUUUUUCUAUUCAAUCAAAAUUUUAAAAAAAUAAGUAACAAAUAAAUAAAAAAGUUAAAAACAAAUGAUCUAAAAUUUAAAAACAAAUUGGAUUUAACAUUAAGUUAAAAAACAAACACCACCAUAAAUUGUCUACACAACAUUGAAUUGAUCAUAUAAUAUAAUGCUUAAAUAGGGUUUUGGCUCGACCUUUUCUAGCAAAUUAUGGUUAGUUAGAGCAUUGGUCUUUACCAAGCCUACCCAUGAAUAUGAUAGCAUAGACGUGAGAAGUUCUCUUUUUUCUUUUCACUUUUUAGCGGAGGUUACUAUAAAAUUCAACUUAAUUUUAUUUUAACUUUUUUUUUUUUUGUAAAUAUAAAUGUUUGUUAAUCUCACUAGAAGAUUGUACCAUACCACCAUGGUAUGUUAUUGUUUGAGAUGUUACAAACUUACAACAUACCAACAACCUUUAUAAUAUUUUUUGCUUGGGAUUCUCUUGUCUCGUUUAGGUAUGGCCCAUAUGGAAGGAAACGAAAAAGCUGAAGGGCAUGACAGCCCUAUAUGCUAGAAAACAAGAUGAUCAUGGAAAAUCUCUCUUCCAUUAUUAACGAAAGCAAUCAUGAAAAUAGUAAGUGGGGGCGGAGAAAGUGAAAUGGGCUUAAAAAAAAAAUGUGGUCGCCUUUUCAAAAAUGCUACUUUCCAAAUCGGUGGAACCACAUUUAUAUCAGAUAACAAAAUCACACAAAUAUGAGAUUAAGUAGGGUUGCAAUGUCUUGUACUUUGUUUGUGGACAAUUUUGUUCUUUUUUUUUGUUAUGAUUUAUGAAUCUUUUUAGACAAUAACUUGUUCUUCGUUAAAUAUUUGAUGUGAACUCUUUUAUCAUAAUAUUUUUAAAUAUACCCAUUCAAUCCCCUUUGAGUGUUACCCUCUUGGACAAUAGUUUUUCAAGUAUAACAAAUGGAAUCAAGAUACAAAAUAAUGAGAUCUCAUAUAUGAUACAAAUGGACAAGAGUUUGAAAAUAAAGACAUGAAACCCUAUUUGUACUCAUAAGAUUAUUUUAAGCAAAAAUAUCAUUCAAUAUUGUAAUAAGAUCUUAUCUUUCAUCUUGAUUAGAAUUAAUUAAGAUACAGAGAGAUAAGAUCAAGAUAAGAAAUGAUGGGAUCUCAUAUUUGAUACGAAUGAGUGAGACUUGGAAACAAAAGCAAGGAACCCAUAUUGGUACUAAUGUCUUAUCGGUAUGUUCCAAAAAGAGUAUCAUUCAGUUCUAUAGUAAAACUAUUUUUUUUUUUUAUUUAUCUAAUGUGAAAAUGUUUUGAUCACAAAGGCAUUAUUAAUAUCAUCCUGCAUUAUUCAUCAUCAACGUGGAAUAUUAAAUUUUCAAAUCCUUAAUUAACAUUUUUUGUUUUCUUGUACUUUUUCUGUGUGUAUAAAUAGUAAGAGCAGCCUUGAUGCAAAUCACACAGUGGUAACCUAAGUGUUUAAUUGAUUGAGAACAUGGAGUCUUCCUUCGCUUUGUUUGUUAUUUUCUCACUUGUCUUGGUAAUCUUCAUUUCUGAUAGGCCAAGAAAAAUCAAGGCCUCGAUCUUAGAUAUGAUUUCAUAUGGUUUAUACUAGUUCUGUAGCAGCGAGUGCUAAUAUAUUUCCCUCUUCUCUGAGCAGGUUGGCAACACAAUAGCUGCGAGAAAGGACCCUGGGGAGUAUUGGAAAGAUGCCAUGAAGGAUCAGCCCAUGCCCAAGGCCAUCGAAGGCGUUCUCUCCGCCAAGAACCCCAACUGCCAUACAGCUACGGAGGCAAGUAACGAGCAGGCCGAUCAGCUUUUAAAGGAUUUUGAGCAGAAAGUAGAGAAGGCUUUUGCCGAGGACUUUGAACCCAGACCCAAUGUCUCGGUUUACCAUGAUGAUAGUAAAGUUGGAGAAGAAAAAUCAUUUGUUAAGGACUUUGAGCCCGGGCCUAACGUCUCAGUAUACCAUGACGAUGAAGUUGCUUCAAAGGGAGACAAGUCAUUUGUUAAUGACUUUGAACCAAGGCCAAAUGUCUCUGUUUAUAACGACUAAGGGAAAC